GCAGUUAGCACAGUUGGCUAGAGCGUGGUGCUGAUGAUGCCAAGGUCGUGAGUUCGAUCCUCUAGGAUUUGAGGAUGCU